rnacentral:rRNA from 1 species
UACGAAGGGGGCAAGCGUUGUUCGGAAUUACUGGGCGUAAAGGGCGCGUAGGCGGUUUGUACAGUCAGGUGUGAAAUUCCCGGGCUCAACCUGGGGGCGGCACUUGAGACGUAGGAACUGGAGUGAGGAAGAGGGUCGUGGAAUUCCCAGUGUAGAGGUGAAAUUCGUAGAUAUUUGGGGAAGAAACACCAGUGGGCGAAGGCGGCUCACUGGCCCCGUAACU